rnacentral:rRNA from 1 species
ACGACUGCUAAGACUGGAUAGGAGAUAGGAAGGCAUCUUCUUAUUUUUAAAAGACCUAGUAAUAGGUAUGCUUAAAGAGGAGCUUGCGUCACAUUAGUUAGUUGGUAGGGUAAAAGCCUACCAAGACUAUGAUGUGUAGCCGGGCUGAGAGGUCAAACGGCCACAUUGGGACUGAGACACGGCCCAAACUCCUACGGGAGGCAGCAGUAAGGAAUUUUCGGCAAUGGAGGAAACUCUGACCGAGCAACGCCGCGUGAACGAUGAAGUAUUUCGGUACGUAAAGUUCUUUUAUUAGGGAAGAAAAGAUGGUGGAAAAACCAUUAUGACGGUACCUAAUGAAUAAGCCCCGGCUAACUAUGUGCCAGCAGCCGCGGUAAUACAUAGGGGGCAAGCGUUAUCCGGAAUUAUUGGGCGUAAAGGGUGCGUAGGCGGUUAAAUAAGUUUAUGGUCUAAGUGCAAUGCUCAACGUUGUGAUGCUAUAAAAACUGUUUAGCUAGAGUUGGAUAGAGGCAAGUGGAAUUCCAUGUGUAGUGGUAAAAUGCGUAAAUAUAUGGAGGAACACCAGGAGCGAAGGCGGCUUGCUGGGUCUUAACUGACGCUGAGGCACGAAAGCGUGGGGAGCAAACAGGAUUAGAUACCCUGGUAGUCCACGCCCUAAACGAUGAGUACUAAACGUUGGGUAAAACCAGUGUUGAAGUUAACACAUUAAGUACUCCGCCUGAGUAGUACGUACGCAAGUAUGAAACUUAAAGGAAUUGACGGGACUCCGCACAAGCGGUGGAUCAUGUUGUUUAAUUCGAAGGUACCCGAAAAACCUCACCAGGUCUUGACAUGUUUUUGCAAAGCUGUAGAAAUACAGUGGAGGUUAUCAAUUGCACAGGUGGUGCAUGGUUGUCGUCAGCUCGUGUCGUGAGAUGUUGGGUUAAGUCCCGCAACGAGCGCAACCCUUGUUGUUAAUUGCCAGCAUGUAAUGAUGGGGACUUUAGCAAGACUGCCAGUGAUAAAUUGGAGGAAGGUGGGGACGACGUCAAAUCAUCAUGCCCCUUAUGACCUGGGCUACAAACGUGAUACAAUGGCUGUUACAAAGGGUAGCUAAAGCGCAAGCUUCUGGCGAAUCUCAAAAAAGCAGUCUCAGUUCGGAUUGAAGUCUGCAACUCGACUUCAUGAAGUUGGAAUCGCUAGUAAUCGCGAAUCAGCAUGUCGCGGUGAAUACGUUCACGGGGUUUGUACACACCGCCCGUCA